rnacentral:lncRNA from 1 species
CACAUUUAGCAUCAACUAUUGUUUGGACCGUCAAUUCGAAUCAGCUAACUUCAACAACUCACAUUUCAAAUAAAAUCCUAAGGGAACAAAUGUUUACAAAAAAAUUUUAGUGUGAACAGAAUUUUAGCGAUUUAGACGUCAAAAUGAUGAGCUUAAAUUUUCAGGUCACAUAGAUUAAAUUACUUUUAAUUUUAAAAGAAUUUUCAGUACCUGGUGUUUGGUGGUUUGAGUUUUACAGCCAAUACUUAUUAAAGAACUAUUUGUUGUUGUUCUUAUUAUCAACAUGGACAAGGACUAGAAAUUGUAUAUGCAGCAUUCAAUGCAAAUAGCUUGCUGACACACAACUAAUGCUAUGGAACUCACAGCAAACUAAUGCUGUGAUGUAAUUUUAGUGGCCGUUUUAUCAUUGUUUCUCGCUGCUCACUACACACCCAGAAUUAAUGCACGUCUGCAUCUUGAACCCUCCAUCCUACUCAAUACAAAAAAUAAAAAUAAAAACUUGAUAAACCUAAGUAUAUUUUUCUGUUCUUCAGCAAAAUUGUUAUCUAUCUUAAACUCUGGACCUUUUUUUUAGACUCUCAGAUGACCUCUAGAUAGUAUAAAACUGAGAGCACAUUUUUUUCAUUCCUUUAUUUCCUCAUACUGUCUUAGUGCUCUGUUUUGCUUUGGAGCUCAGAGAUGUAAUAAAUCUGUUAGAGAACCUUGGCUUUAAUCACUCAUUCAUAUAUAAUACUUGCCUUCCAGAGGAUCUUAUAUCUAAAAUGUUCAGCUGAAAUGUGGGACUUGUUUCUUACCUUUGCAGAGUUUUAUCCAGGGAAGAUACGGAUUCUCAGGAGCUUCAAAAAAGGUGGGAAUUGGGAGUUCCCAUCAUGGCUCAGUGGUUAACGAAUCCGAGGGAUCAAACCCAUGUGCUCAUGGAUACUAGUCAGAUUUGUUACCGCCGAGCUACGACAGGAACUCCCUAUGUUUAAUCCUUCUUGUGGAGCCAUGACUUAAGUAGACAGGAAAGGAGGGAGGAAGGAAGGGAGGGAGGAAGGAGGGAAGGAGGGAAGGAGAGACAAAAACAACUGAAAAAAGAGGGUCAGACCUAGAAAUAAAAAGAGAAAAAUAUUGGUCAAUUCAUGAAUGACCGAAGAGAAGGAAUCUCUUCUUUGCCUGUUGUAUUUACAGCAGAAAAUCUGUUUCUCAUACGUUGCACCAGAUCUCAAAUCCAGAAAUAUUUAUGGCGGACACUUAGUAAUGUGCCCUCAGAGAGUAAUUGGGGUAACACGGUGUGUUUCCAAAUGGGGCCACCACCUUGCUGCAGGUCCCCUCUCUGUACCCAGCUAGUGGCAGAUUGCUGAAGUUAAUGUCAAUGUGUAGAUAGGUUUAGGAAGGAGCCACAAGUCAUCAUAGACUGUAAUCGCAGAAGUUCUCUUUGGGUGGUACAGCAGGAAAAAGCAGGACGUCAAAAUCAGACUAACAUGAGUUGAAUACCUUGGACACAUUACUUAGACUUGGAGCUACAGUUUUCCAGAGAGUAAACUAGAAGCCUCAAGACAUACUAAAUUAAAAAAUAAAUGAGGAGUUCCCGACGUGGCGCAGUGGUUAACGAAUCCGACUAGGAACCAUGAGGUUGCGGGUUCGGUCCCUGCCCUUGCUCGGUGGGUUAAUGAUCCGGCGUUGCUGUGAGCUGUGGUGUAGAUUGCAGACACGGCUCGGAUCCCACGUUGCUGUGGCUGUGGUGUAGGCCGGGGGCUACAGCUCCGAUUGGACCCCUAGCCUGGGAACCUCCAUAUGCCGCGGGAGCGGCCCAAGAAAUAGCAAAAAAAAAAAAAAAAAAAAA